rnacentral:rRNA from 1 species
GAUGAACGCUAGCUACAGGCUUAACACAUGCAAGUCGAGGGGAAACGGCAUCGAAAGCUUGCUUUUGAUGGGCGUCGACCGGCGCACGGGUGAGUAACGCGUAUCCAACCUGCCCAUCACUUGGGAAUAACCUUGCGAAAGUAAGACUAAUGCCCAAUGACAUCCCACGAAGGCAUCCGAAUGGGAUUAAAGAUUUAUCGGUGAUGGAUGGGGAUGCGUCUGAUUAGCUUGUUGGCGGGGUGACGGCCCACCAAGGCAACGAUCAGUAGGGGUUCUGAGAGGAAGGUCCCCCACAUUGGAACUGAGACACGGUCCAAACUCCUACGGGAGGCAGCAGUGAGGAAUAGUGGUCAAUGGGCGAGAGCCUGAACCAGCCAAGUAGCGUGCAGGAUGACGGCCCUAUGGGUUGUAAACUGCUUUUAUAAGGGAAUAAAGUGGGUCACGUGUGACUUUUUGCAUGUACCUUAUGAAUAAGGACCGGCUAAUUCCGUG